AUCCCAUGAUGAGGACACUUAAGAAGUAAUUCUUUGAAUCUCUCUCAUGCCUCGUACAAUGAAUCAUCAUCCAAUUGCUGAAAAGUGGUGAUCUUAUUUCGCAACUU
rnacentral:snoRNA from 1 species